AUUCGGUCAGCGGCGGACGGGUGAGUAACACGUGGGCAACCUGCCCGCAAGACCGGGAUAACUCCGGGAAACCGGAGCUAAUACCGGAUAACACCGAAGACCGCAUGGUCUUYGGUUGAAAGGCGGCCUUUGGGCUGUCACUUGCGGAUGGGCCCGCGGCGCAUUAGCUAGUUGGUGAGGUAACGGCUCACCAAGGCGACGAUGCGUAGCCGGCCUGAGAGGGUGACCGGCCACACUGGGACUGAGACACGGCCCAGACUCCUACGGGAGGCAGCAGUAGGGAAUCUUCCGCAAUGGGCGAAAGCCUGACGGAGCGACGCCGCGUGAGCGAAGAAGGCCUUCGGGUCGUAAAGCUCUGUUGUGAGGGACGAAGGAGCGCCGUUCGAAGAGGGCGGCGCGGUGACGGUACCUCACGAGAAAGCCCCGGCUAACUACGUGCCAGCAGCCGCGGUAAUACGUAGGGGGCGAGCGUUGUCCGGAAUUAUUGGGCGUAAAGCGCGCGCAGGCGGUCUCUUAAGUCUGAUGUGAAAGCCCACGGCUCAACCGUGGAGGGUCAUUGGAAACUGGGGGACUUGAGGGCAGGAGAGGAGAGCGGAAUUCCACGUGUAGCGGUGAAAUGCGUAGAGAUGUGGAGGAACACCAGUGGCGAAGGCGGCUCUCUGGCCUGCACCUGACGCUGAGGCGCGAAAGCGUGGGGAGCA
rnacentral:rRNA from 1 species